UACGUAGGGUGCGAGCGUUAAUCGGAAUUACUGGGCGUAAAGCGUGCGCAGGCGGUUUUGUAAGCCAGAUGUGAAAUCCCCGGGCUCAACCUGGGAAUUGCAUUUGAGACUGCGUAGCUAGGGUGCGGAAGAGGGAAGCGGAAUUUCCGGUGUAGCGGUGAAAUGCGUAGAUAUCGGAAGGAACACCAGUGGCGAAAGCGGCUUCCUGGUCCAGCACCGACGUCAGGCACGAAAGCGUGGGGGAGCAAACAGG
rnacentral:rRNA from 1 species